GACGAACGCUGGCGGCGUGCUUAACACAUGCAAGUCGAACGGAAAGGCCCUGCUUGCAGGGUACUCGAGUGGCGAACGUGUGAGUAACACGUGGGUGAUCUGCCCUGCACUUCGGGAUAAGCCUGGGAAACUGGGUCUAAUACCGGAUAGGAGCCAUUUUUAGUGUGAUGGUUGGAAAGUUUUUUCGGUGUAGGAUGAGCUCGCGGCCUAUCAGCUUGUUGGUGGGGUAAUGGCCUACCAAGGCGGCGACGGGUAGCCGGCCUGAGAGGGUGGACGGCCACAGUGGGACUGAGAUACGGCCCAGACUCCUACGGGAGGCAGAAGUGGGGAAGAGUGAACAAUGGGCGCAAGCCGGAUGCAGCGACGCCGCGGGGGGGAGGACGGACUUCGGGUUGUAAACUCAUUUCGCUAGGGACGAAGCUGUUUGUGACGGUACCUAGAUAAGAAGCACCGGCUAACUACGUG
rnacentral:rRNA from 1 species